rnacentral:lncRNA from 13 species
CGGCGGAGCGGGCUGCGCUCCCCGCGGCUGCGGCGGGGCUUCACCCCGCUUCGUGCGGCCCCAGCGCCCGCCCCAGGGGCCGCGCCCGGCACCUCCUCGGCGGGGCUGCUGUCCCCGGGACGCCGUGACGGCUGUGCGCUCCCCGCCCUUCUCACCGCCCCUCUCCCCUUUCCUCCUCCUCCUCUUCCUCCUCCUCCUUCGGGAGCCUUGCCUCCCCUGCACACCUGCCUUGCCAUUUGUCGGCGGCUUUGCUAGGAGGGAAGAAUUUUCCCUCGGUCCCUUACAGCAUCCCUCCCCGGCACACACACACACACACACACACACACACAUACACGCACGCUCACACAGCCGGACGGGCAGAGGCACCGCGCUGCCCGUGCCUCGCUGGCCGCCGCCUCUCCGCACCUCGGCCCCGCGCUCCUCGCCGCCGCGGGGCGUCCUCCGCCUGCUGCAGCGCCGCCGGGCCCGGCAGCCGCCGAAGGGGGGUGGCGGCGGCGGCUCCCGCUGCUCCGCGGCCCCGCACCGGCAGCGAUCUUGGAUUCUGAACUUGAAGCAAUUCUUCAAGACUAUAUGCUUCCUGAAACUCAAAAACUAUCUGCAAUAA